UUCUCUUCAACUUUUUUCUACCUUUGAGUUUAAGCAGUUGAAUCCCCCAGUUGGUUUUGAAGAUCUAUCCCGUAGGUUUGUAAAGUACACACAAGGCAAUCCACUUGCUCUUAAAGUAAAAGAUAAUCUGGCGUGCAAGUAACACCAGUGUUGACUAAAGGAUAGUUGGCUAAGCUCAAGUCGUCGCCUGUGCUUUUGCCUAGGCCUUCAAUCUCUUUCCCAUUUACACUUUUUCUUCUUACAAUAAUACCACAACCCAAGCAAAACUCACUUGCUAUAUUUGUUCUCUCUUUUGCUUCAAGCACACUAUCAAUACUCUUUCAUGGGUUCUUCUUCUUCAUCUUCUACUCUAAUGAAGUAUCAUGUUUUCUUGAGCUUCAGAGGUGAAGACACGCGCCUUAAUUUCACCACUCACUUACUUCAAGCUUUGAAAGACGAGGGACUUGAUGUUUUCUUCGAUGAAGAAAAACUGGAAAGGGGGGACCAGCUUUCACAAGCACUUUCUCGAGCAAUUGCAGUCUCAAAUAUCUCAAUCAUCGUUUUGUCUGCAGACUAUGCCUCUUCGAAAUCAUGCUUGGUUGAACUCUCUGACAUCAUGGACCGCUAUAGCGUCGGACAACAUACUGUUCGUCCCAUCUUUUACCAUGUUAACCCCUCUGAUGUGGUGAAAAUUGAUGGGAGUUUUAAGAAAUCCUUUGAUGAGCAUAAAACAAAGAGGUCAGUUGAUGAAGUGAAACAAUGGGAAACCGCUUUUGCUGAAGUUGGUAAAUUACAAGGGUGGCAUAUAGAUGGAAGCAGGUCGGAUGGGUAACUAUAUUUGUCUCAUCUCCUUAUAUUUGACUUAUCUUCGUUUUGGCUUUCAUAUAUAUACUUCUUCUAUUAUUUGCUAGACCUGAAACCCAGUACAUCAAGGAUAUUGUUGCGUAUGUUAUGCAAAAGUUGAUGAAGCAUCAAGUUUUCUUAAGCUUAGGUGAAGACACACGCCUCAACUUCUCCAAUCACCUAGUAAAUGCUUUGGAAAAAGUAGGAAUUAAUGUCUUCCCCGAUAACGAAACACUGAAAAAAGGAGAGAAACUUCCACCAACGUAUUCUCGAACAAUUUCGGCCUCAAAUCUCUCAAUCCUCGUUGUAUCUAAAGCCUAUGCUUCUUCAAAAUCAUGCUUAGGUGAACUUUCUGACAUCAUGGAUCGCAAGCACAAUCCCAAUGACAAACAUAUUGUUCUUCCCGUCUUUUACCAUGUUGAUCCUUCCGAUGUGCGAAAUAGUGGUGGGCAUUUUAAGACAUCCUUCGAAGACCAUGAAUCAGAGCAACCAGCUGAUAGAGUACAACAAUGGAAAACUGCUUUUGCAGAGGUUGGUAAAUUAAAAGGGUGGCAUAUAGAAGGAGGCAAAUUUGACAGGUAACUAUAUUUUUCUCAUCUUGUUAUUUUCAACUUAUCUUUGUUUUAGAUUUCAUAUUUACUUUUUACAUUUUUUAUUGUUUUCUAGACCUGAAACCGAGUACAUUAAAGAUAUUGUUGAAUAUGUUAUAAAAAAGUUUACGAAUAUUGGGUUUGAAAGUGCUUCUGAAGAAUUGGUUGGAAUAGAAUAUCAGAAAAAUGCGAUUUUGAAGCUGAUUAAGCAAAAAGACUGUCGUGUAAUAGGACUUUGGGGAAUGGGUGGUGAAGGCAAAUCAACCCUUGCUGAGGCUGUAUAUAAAAAAACUCUCUUCAGAGUUUGAAACUCAUUGCUUUCUUCAAAAUGUUAGAGAGGAAAUAAAAAAACAAGGGAAGGAAUCUUUACGAAAUAAAUUUCUUUCGGGAUUAUUGAAAUCGAAUGUUGAUAUAGGCACCCCCUCCAUUGGAUCCACUUUAACUCAAGAGAGACUCAACAAGAAGAAAGUACUUGCUGUCCUUGAUGAUGUUGAUGACUCAGACCAAAUAGAUUAUAUGGGUGUUAAAUAUUUUGGUUAUGGAAGUAAAACCAUUAUAACAUCAAGAGAUAGACAAGUGCUUGAGAGUGGAGGAGCUGACACAAUACAUGAGGUGAAAGGGUUGAAUGAGAACGAUUCUCUUCAACUUUUUUCUACCUUUGCGUUUAAGCAGUUGAGUCCCGCAGUUGGUUUUGAAGAUCUAUCCCGUAGGUUUGUAAAGUACACUCAAGGCAAUCCACUUGCUCUUAAAGUUUUGGGUUCUGAUUUAAAUAAAAGAAGUAAAAAUUAUUGGGAAAGUAAGGUGGAGAAGCUAAAGGACUGUCCCCCAGAAAAAAAAAUUUCAGAGGUUUUGAAAAGUAGUUAUGAUGGGCUAGAUUUAGUAGAGCAGAAUAUAUUUCUUGACAUUGCAUGCUUCUUUAAAGGGGAACCCAUGGAAAGAGCAAAACUUAUUCUAAGUAGUUGUUAUACGGGUGUAGAGUGUGGAAUAAACAAAUUGGUUGACAAAUGCCUGAUCAAUGUCUCAUCUUCUACUAAUUUCUCUCUUGAUUAUUUUGAUUAUUCUACAAUGUGGCCAUGUAAAUUAUUACGAG
rnacentral:lncRNA from 1 species